rnacentral:tRNA from 1 species
GAGGUUGUGGCUCAGUGGUAGAGCGCUUGCCUCACAUGUGCAAGACCCUGGGUUCGAUCCUCAGUACCACA